rnacentral:rRNA from 1 species
AUUGAACGCUAGCGGGAUGCUUUACACAUGCAAGUCGAACGGAGUGGCGAACGGGUGAGUAAUGUAUCGGAACGUGCCCAGUAGCGGGGGAUACCUACGCGAAGGCGUAGCUAAUACCGCAUAAUAUUGGAGAGGCCGAUAACGGAUUAGCUAGUUGGUGAGGGAACGGCUCACCAAGGCGACGAGCCGUAGCUGGUUUGAGAGGACGACCAGCCACACUGGGACUGAGACACGGCCCAGACUCCUACGGGAGGCAGCAGUGGGGAAUUUUGGACAAUGGGGGCAACCCUGAUCCAGCCAUCCCGCGUGUGCGAUGAAGGCCUUCGGGUUGUAAAGCACUUUUGGCAGGAAAGCGGUACCUGCAGAAUAAGCACCGGCUAACUACGUGCCAGCAGCCGCGGUAAUUC